UUAUCAGAUUUGGAUUCGACGUAGCUCGAAGUUUUGUGAUAUUUUUGCACUGCAGGUAUCAUGAGUUUUUGGCAGAUUCACAUUGGUUCCAUGAUGUCACAGAGUUGGAUUAGAGAAGCGGCUCUGGGCCAUUCUACUUGUUGGUGUCUGGUGCAUCAAGCAGGUAGCAUAAACGGUGUGCGGUGCUGCGGGUGGCCUCGUCUGUGACAUCAUCCACGCCACCCCAUGCUUCAAACCUAACAUCUGUACAUGUUUGUUACGGAAACCUAAGUUCAGUCUUCGAUUAAAGGCAUGACAGCUGCUCACUCUAUUCUGUUUAACCUGGUUGUAGGCAGGGAACUGCUGCCACUUGAUAGGAAUGGCCAUGCUGGUGAUGAGCAUUCUGAGUUCAAGACUGAUGAGAAGCAAGUGAUCGAGGGGCUUCACAUAUAUCAACGCUAGCCCAAAAAAGGAGCUGAUGAGGUGGCCUUCAGCACCGUGCUGCCUGGUAGGAUGGAAGUGAACCAUCAAAAAGUCGUGCAGUGGAAUUAAUGUACUUCGUAGCAAAAAAUAUUUACACCGAGUUAUGUACUUCACUACAUGUUUGAUGACAAAUUCCUGCAUUUUUGAUAGGCUUGUCAGGCCUUGCUCAUAUUUAUUUUAUGGGAACAUGAGGGUAUGCGAGUCAAUCUGACAUCGUGGAGUCUAUGUAAUAAUCAUGCAAUGUCUUAUGUUGUGUAAUCAGCAGAUUCUUUU